rnacentral:rRNA from 1 species
UACGAAGGGGGCUAGCGUUGUUCGGAAUUACUGGGCGUAAAGGGCGCGUAGGCGGUACUUCAAGUCAGGCGUGAAAGCCCCGGGCUCAACCUGGGAACCGCGCUUGAGACUGGAGAGCUAGAGUUCGGGAGAGGAUGGUGGAAUUCCCAGUGUAGAGGUGAAAUUCGUAGAUAUUGGGAAGAACACCAGUGGCGAAGGCGGUUGCCUGGAGCUUUGCUGACGCUGAUGCGCGAAAGCGUGGGGAGCGAUCCGG